rnacentral:rRNA from 1 species
AGAGUUUGAUCCUGGCUCAGAGCGAACGCUGGCGGCAGGCCUAACACAUGCAAGUCGAACGAACUCUUCGGAGUUAGUGGCGGACGGGUGAGUAACACGUGGGAACGUGCCUUUAGGUUCGGAAUAACUCAGGGAAACUUGUGCUAAUACCGAAUGUGCCCUUCGGGGGAAAGAUUUAUCGCCUUUAGAGCGGCCCGCGUCUGAUUAGCUAGUUGGUGAGGUAAAGGCUCACCAAGGCGACGAUCAGUAGCUGGUCUGAGAGGAUGAUCAGCCACAUUGGGACUGAGACACGGCCCAAACUCCUACGGGAGGCAGCAGUGGGGAAUCUUGCGCAAUGGGCGAAAGCCUGACGCAGCCAUGCCGCGUGAAUGAUGAAAGGUCUUAGGAUUGUAAUAUUCUUUCACCGGGGACGAUAAUGACGGUACCCGGAGAAAGAAGCCCCGGCUAACUUCGUGCCAGCAG